rnacentral:rRNA from 1 species
ACCUAAAUAAUACCCUAAAGGUACCUGAUCUUAUUUGAACUUGGAAGCUAAGUAGGGUCAGCCCUGGUUAGUACAUAUUUGGAGAGGAGACUGCCAGUGAAUACUAGGAGCUAUAGGCU